AAUAGAAUCCAGUAUUUUGAAUGGUUUGGGAUAUAUUGGACGUUUGGAAAAGAAGAAUGGGAAUAAUAGUUCCAAGUGGUUUACAUUUGGACAAAAAAAGACCGUAGUUUUUAGACUGC
rnacentral:ncRNA from 26 species